CCCUUCGGUCCCCGUGUGCUUCAUUCUCCGCAGUGGUCUUGCUUCGCUCAACCUAGCAGACAGGCACUGAGAGGAUCUGGGCAGUGGUGGUGAUGAAGAGGCGCCUCCCGGGGAGACGCCAAGACGGGCAACAUCUGACCCUUGGCCUGAGGCCUUCCUUCUAGAGAGGUGGGCUCCCGAGCAGAAGGUUGUCUGGGCAGGUUGAGGCCGUGUCUCCAGACUCCCCCGGGUCCUAAGCACGAACUGAAGCAAUCUGGGGGUUCACGCCGAGAUCUUCCACUGGGCAGCGUCCUCAUCUAGGUUACAGUGUCCUGAGCAAGGAAGACAGGGCGUGGCUAGGCUUGUUCCGUCUGAUGGAAAGGUCUCAGCAGCACCGGCCGAGGAUGGAGACGGUGUCCUCCGGGUAAAAGCAGAAGAUGCGAGAGUCUCUGGAGACAGACUGAAACCUCCUUCCACUUGCCCCCCGGUUCUGUUCAUAGCACAUUCCACCAGCAACAGAAUCCAACAUUGACGCACUAUCCAGAAUGAUGAGAGCACCACAGAGCGCCUGGGAUGCCUGUAGUUGAAGGAAGGAUUAAAUGGGUUAUCACUUUCGGAAUGGGCGCCUUCAACCGCCAUAACACAAAUCUCCUUUUAUCUCUGCGAUAAUACAAUUUGAAGGAAGAGCUCACGGUGGAACCCUUGUAACUGACAAGUGGUGACUUGGUUCAGACCAGCUGUUGGCUUCAUCAGCCUGUCUUUAUGAGGUCAGAGUUCACAGCCCAGGAGGGCAGAAAUGAUGGUCGAAUCAAUUGAUAUUUAAACGUUUUGAGAAUUCCCUCCGGGUCUUUGUACAUGGAUUUGCACACUCUGAGACCAGGAAGAGACCGCUAUGUCAGACUUCUCCCGGGGCUGUUCUUAAAGAAAAGGGUAUGAAAACAUGAUAAUAUUUGUCAACAUCGCAGCACGUUUUCCAGCUCGAAAUCUGAGCAGCCUGCUAAGUCUUACUGCUAGAGUUGAAGCAGUGAUUGCAGUUUUUUGCCUGGUAGUGCGGCAUCUUCUUCUCUUCCUGUGACAGCUCAUCCUGACUCAUAGUAAAUAAGACACCCUCAUCACCGCUAGCCUCGGUGAUGCUUCCAAUUAAUGCAGACCUUGAACUCCCCUGUCUGGCCGGACUCUCUGAGUGAAUUCCCCACUCCCCGAUUCACUGGCUCCACCGCCUCAUCCUGCCAUCGUCCGCCCGUCACCAUAUUCAUUCCACCAGCCCACAUCUACCAGCUUUGCGAAGUGGUCUCUGGAUAAGAGAGUACAAGGCUAGGACCCUCCCCCGAACCCCGAGCCACAGUUCUUGGUAUCAGACACGUGGCAUGCACCUUGACAACUUUGUUUUGAAAGUGGAUGUGCCAUGUCCAUGCCCAGCGCGAGAUUAGGAAUUCCUGGAAUUCACAGGUCACCCUGCUUGAUUUCUGCAAGGCGCUUCCCCGAGGGCAGCCCCGCAGUGCAUGUUUGCGGAUGGUGUGAACGGAGACGAGGAGAGGAAGGCCGAGGCGGUCACUCCGCUAAGAGGUGUCCGAGGGGUGACAGAGGAAACCGACACAGGGACACAUUCUGUCCUGCCUCUUGACCUGAGCUGUUGGGUGGGAAGCUGGGCUCCUCGGUCACUACGUGAUCAGAGGUAUAGACAGAGCCCCUCGAGAUGUACCUGCCGAGAACUUUGACCGUCCUGCUCAGAGCAAAAAUGAGGACAGAGCUGGGGCCAGCCGACCCUUGUUCUCUGCAGAGAGGCAGACUUUGUGUAACAGCCCUUGGGCACAGAUGGGCCAUCCACUGCUCAAAAUAAUAUUUAAUAUCUCACCUCGGGGCGCUUACGGAGGACCCAGGAGGAAUGUCUCGCUCUUGGGGUGACGGCACGUUUGACCUCGUUGAGAUGGUGGUUUUGGUCUCUCUUACGCAGCAGGCGUCACAGCAAAAGAGCCACGGGCUUGCGGUAAAUCCCAUAAACACUUUAUCCAGGAGAUUGUUUUCAAAGGGCUCCACCACAGACCACUUGGGUACAAAGGGUCAAAGAGAGUCCAAACAAAUGCAGGACAAUUAUAGGUACAAAGGGCCUGUGUCCUUGGUGAAUCAUUAAUCCUCAGCCGUCGUGAACAGAAAUGUUCCAUACAUUCGAUCAACAGGUUUGCGAAAGAGCCCAGGACACGCAGGAGAAGGGCACACGGUGCAAAAAUAAGUGGCAGUCGCAAGAGAGCUGGGUGGCGUUUGGGGGCCUCUCUAGGUUGGGGGGGGUUUGUUUACUCCUUGGUGUCAGACUGGGGGGGCCGGGUCUCCGCCCCCGAGUGAGUGAGUCUCCGCAUCCGUGAUUAUCACGCACCCUGGGCCUCCUUCCUCGUCGCCCCCCCUCGGUGCUGCCUCCGUUCAGUUGACUAUUUCAGGCACAUCCGCGCCCAGAAGCCGCCCUGAGGGGCCGUCCCUUCUCCUUCGCUGUGUCUUCUUCUUGUGGGAGUGAGGGCGUCAGGGCCACGACAACCACCGAGACAGGAGGCUGUGACGCCCAGCUGGCAGAAAGAAAAACAAGACACCUUGUGACUAGAAAAAAAGAGACCAACUCUUUGUUUUUGUCCACGGAUGACAUAGCCAAAAGCACGGGGCCGUCUCAAGGGGGCUUCUGGGACGGGCACACGCGCAUUUUCCAAUUUUCUAAUAACUUUGCCGCAGCUCAGAACACUUCUGAAGCUUCCCUUUAGGAAUGACACUGGGGACCACCGACAGGUCCCGUAAGGAAACCAAUCUCGUCUUCCUGUAAGAGUCACCCGGGCUAUCGGUACGGUCACCUCCUUGGCCCAGAAGCCCACUCUGGAUGGACAGGAGAGGUGGCAGGAAGGAAAUGCGAGGGAACUGGGAAGUCGGGCAGGGCUCAGGGGACUCAGGGGACAAACACGUCGUGAAAAGGCAGAGGAAGUGGGCUUGGGGAUGACAGUGCCUCAAGCGGCCUCAGGUCAGUGGACAUGCUGGAGGGACGGUCCCUCGCCUUGUCACGGGGGCCAGACCGCAGGAGCCCCUCGCUCUUUCCAGCACACCUUCCUCCGGCCCUGUCAUGGUCCCCGAGGCCCGUCUCUGGGGACAAUGCAAACAAACGAAAACAGAACUCAGGGAUGCCAGGGGCUUUUGGUCAUGAAGGGUCAGGUGUCUGGUUGAAGCACGGGGGUCGGGGGUGGGGAGGGAAUGAAGAAAUGGGGAGGUAGAAAAUAUGGACCCACGUGUCUCCUAAAGAACAUUCUUUCCUUGCGUGUGGAUAAUCUUCUUUCUUAAAACGUCUCGAGUCUCUACUCGUUACCUUCUCUCUUCUCAAGUGUACAGCUGUACAGCGCUGAAGCCUCCAUAAAUGGAAUUGCCCACGGGAGGUGCUUUCCCUCCAGGAGGCAUCCUGGCCCCUGGCUGGCCGUGUGCCCAGGCCUGGUCUCCUGAGGGCCUGCUCCUGCACUGCCCGCCUCACGUGUCCCAGACUCUGGGGUCCCUACCAGUCACAGCUCCGGGUUCUCUUCUGUUCUCCUGGGCCGGAUGGUGGAGGCCAACGCCCAGGGGUUUUGAGCGGACGUUACAGAUUCUGUGGUGUUGUUACCCUUUUAUGCAGGAAUUCUCUACACAGCGUUCUUUUGAGAGGUUCUCCAGUCCCCAGGACUCUUCCCUUUGGAGAGAGACCUCAAGCCCACAAAGUGAUAAAGAGGACGAUGCCCAGAACUCGGAACCGGGGCAUCACGAGACUCAUCGAUGAAUCAUUCCUCCUUCAGAAAGCUCAGCCAAGCGCGGUGUGGCCAUGACCUUCCUGACCUCAAAGUUGACCCCUGUAACUUCAUUGCAGCCUACCAACCAGGAUGACCUCACGAAGGUCCCUUUUAUCUACUCCUCGUUUUCAGCUGUUCUUCCUAAGAUAGGAUUCUUCUCUCCUAGUAGGUUCCAGCCUAUUUUUACCCCCCCCCCCAAUAUUUGAAAGUAACGUUUUGGUGGAUGUGUUAAAGUCUGUGUGUAUCAUUCAUCCAUUUGUGUCCUUCAAACAUACACCACUUCUAAGCGCCAACUACGCUUCCAUAAAUCCAGGAAAAAUGGCAUGUGUAUACAUAACAUAGCUUUACAUUUUAUACCUGACUUCUUCCUUUUUUAAAGUUUUGUUGAGGUCGAGUUGAUUUACGAGGCUGUGAUCAUUUCUGCUGCACCACCAAGUGACUCAGCUAUUCUUGUGCACACAUCCGUCUUCAGACCCCUUUCCUGCAGAGAUGAUCACGGGACGCUGGGCAGAGUUCUCGGGGCAGUACAGCAGGUCCCCACUGGCCAGUCAUUCCACAGGCCUCACUGGGCACGUGCCAGUCCCACACCCCUAAGAGUUUACUUCCAUGCUCUCAAGCCAUGUUUUGUGUAUUUAUUUAUUUUAUUUAUUUUUGCUUUUUAGGGCUGCGUAUGGAAGUCGCCAGGCCAGGGGUUGAAUCGGGGCUACAGCUGCCGGACUAUGCCACAGCCACAGCCACACCAGGCCUGAGCGACACCUGCAAUGUACCCCACAGCUCAGGCAAUGUCAGAUCCUUAACCCUUAACCCUUAAUCCUUGAUGAGCAGGGCCAGGGACCCAAUCUGCAUCCUCAUGGAUGCUAGUCGGGUUAGUUACUGCUGAGCCACAGCAGGAACUCUUCAAGCCAUGUUUGGAAUGAUUCUAAUUAAUGAUGCUGCUAAAAAGAGAACCCUCUUACAGUGUUGGUGGCUAUGUAAGUUGGUGAGGUCAUUGUAGAGAAAAGUAUGGAGGAUGCUUAAAAAAAUAAACACAGGAGUUCCCAUUGUGGCUCAGUGGUUAACAAAUCCAACUAGGAACCAUGAGGUUGUGGGUUCGAUCCCUGCCCUUGCUCCAUGGGUUAAAGAUCCAGCGUUGCUGUGAGCUGUGCUGUAGGUCGCAGAUGUGGCUCGGAUCUGGAGUUGCUGUGGCUGUGGUGUAGGCCAGCAGCUGUAGCUCCAAUUAGACCCCUAGCCUGGGAACCUCCAUAGGACACAGGUGCAGCCCCAAAAAGCAAAAAAAGAAAAGAAAAA
rnacentral:lncRNA from 1 species